ensembl:lncRNA
UGGGUGGAUAGGUUCUGGUUGUGUGAUUCUAGAGCCAAAUAUAAAGAGCCAAAGGGCUUCUAGAUGAAAAUCAGCUCUGCUAGACUUAUGUUAUAUAUAUACUUAAAUUUUGUGACAACAUUUUUGACAGGUCAAAUACAGAUUGUAAUGACUGGAAAUUUACCAGUUUUGUUUUCAACUUCUUGAGCUUCCUAGGAGACCAGUUAUAUAGAACAACUAAAAGAGCAUCUCAAUUUCUAGAUGACCUCACGUUGGUGGUAGAGUCAAAAAGCCCUUCUAGAAGAGUCGGGCGGUUUCUUAACCCUGGCUGCCCAUUAGAAACACUUGGAAGCUUUUAACAAUUAUGAUGUUCUAGCCCCACCUGAACCCAAUUAAUAUAGAACACUGGGGAGUGGGGCCAGGGCAAAGGGCCCAGGGCAGUUUUAUAAGUGCCCUGGGUGAUUCUAAUUUUCAAUUAGGGUUAAAAAAAGCUAACACUGGGGUAUAACCUUUUGCUUUAACCCUUCAUCUUUUGAUCAGACUCAGAAGUGACAAUGUUAGAACAAAGAUGCUAACAGCUAACAUUUCAAAUCAAACCUUAGGCAUCAUUUAAAGCCAACGCAUCCUUAAAGACCCCAAGGGAAGGAGUAAAGAUGGAAAGAGCAAAGAUAUAUGGCUGGAGGGAUGAAAGAUCUUCUCUCCAGCAAGGCCCAACACAGCUGGCUGCCAGGUUCCAGGCAGCGGCACAGACGCACAGAUGCAGAAGGCACUUGGAGCCACAGGAAGCUUACAGUCGGGUCCUUGACCGGGUCUUCCUGUCGUCCUGCGCUCAGAUCCUUCACUGUCCUACUGCAGUUUUACAACCUAGCAGAAGGAAGUUCUUGAAAGCAUCGCUCUUUGUCCUCAGAGAGAUGAGUGAUCCUCAUCCUCAGGCAUCCUGUCUGAUGCUGACAAGCACUUGAUGACAAUGAGGAAAGCCAGCCUGAGCGGGAUGCUGAGACAUGAAGAGAAGACUAGGUAACAGAAUCUCAGAAUGAAGCUGAAGAGCAACUGUUACAUAAAUAAAGCACAUACUCUACACUGAGAAGAUUACAGGAAAUGUGAAGAACUGUUAAUGUGAGUUCCCUCCAUCCCUCACACAACGGAUUAAUGGAGCUUGAUAGAAGCUUAGGAAAUCUUCUCCACAGCCCCUGCCUUUGGGCAGCACACAUCUAAACCAUCUACAAUGGUUCACGGUCUGUGCUUCUCCACAGCCUCCCAGUGUGCAGACACCAGAACCUACUCUGGGACUUUCACACCACGACUGCCCAGAAGUUUUCCAGUCACUCAAGAGAAAUCUGUUAGGUAUUAACAGAAUUUUAACCCAUUCUUUCUCGGUUUUGAAUUUUUAAGCCUACAAAAGAACACAUACACACACGUGCACACAGUUGUUCAGUGUGAUUUAUUAGGAAAUAUUGAACAUUUCCAAAAGAGAAUUAAUUAUCGAGCUAACUAGGAUACUUUUAGACAAUUGGAUGGUAGAAUUGGAGAUUUUUGUCCCAUGCUUAAUGUCUUAAUAUCAUGAACUGUCUCUUUAAACAUCCUGAAACUGGCCUUGUUUGAAUUAUUUACAGUCUUUGAACAGCACAAUCUUUGUAGAUAUUCUUAAUACUCUUUGGUGGAUCUUUCUUUAGCAUCUUAUUGGAAAUAAAGCAUUUCACUUACUUCUGUUAAGAAAAUAUCAUUGCAAUCAGCUGUAGAAAAAAAUUUUUUUGCACAUAUACUAUUCUUUCAUAAAGUUCCAUAAGAUUAGUUGUAGUCCUUUGGUUUUUCCAGCUUAUUGAACCAAAAUCAUAGCUUCUAUUUCUAACCUGAGAAAUAUGCAUUCUCGGUAAGAUUAUUUCUCUGGCAAAAAUGCAAUGGGCAACCAAGAGAUUCCCUGUGCAACUGUCACCUCUGCUUUGGAAAUCCGGGUACUGUGCUUCUAAUCUGUGAAAGGGGCUGGGCUUGUUCAUCCCGCAGCAGAUCUGCUACCCUAAAAUGAGAUAAUAGUAGCCUGAAAUGUACGUUUUGUUUUCCACUAACUAUUUAUUUUCCCCUUUUUAAAGGUCAACUAUUUCUAUGACCAUGAUGUAUAGCUGGAACCAAAGGAAACUUUAACAACAGCGCCAUUGUUUAGACAAAUUGAUCUCAGAGAACGACAAUAGUAUUGAACCAGGCUUGCAAAUAACUACCCAAAAUUUACCAGUCCCCCAAAGUUUAUAAUCCUUUCCCUUCUAGAGAGAAAGAAGCUGUAAAAUAUAAAGCAUCCACGUUUGCAAACUAAGAAGCCAAUAUAAAAUUUUUUGUGGAUAGACUUCCAGGAAAAUGUCAAAAUGAAUUUUAUUAUAGAAUUUAUUAAAAGAAUUUCCUUUGAAGAUUAAUAAUCUGAGUAAUAAUAAAAGAAAGUCCUUUUCUGAAGUGGUAGUUUUGUAUAUACCCAUGGUGAACAGCACAUUUCUAUCUUCUCUUGUUAUAAAAUCAUAGAAAUAAAAAAAAUCCGUUUCAAUGUGAUAAGUUUAGGUUAAAAUGAGGUUAAAUUUCCUGACAAGGCUUGUUGAAAUAAUAUCCUUCCAGGGAAAACUGUUAAAUUGCCUUUGAAGAUAUUUUAAGUUAAGAUUUCUGGUUCAUGUGAUUUCACACAUAUGUUCCUCUAUUCUAUAAAAUGUCUCCAACUUUUUUUCUUUCUUUAAUAAAUGCCUAAAGCGUAUUAACAAAGGCACAUUUUUACAAGUUCUUUUCAUCUUUGUUACUGAUGGGGCUAAGCAGCGAUAUACAAAAUAGAACAGUGUAACAUUGCUUUCUGUGUAGAGUAAUUAUCUCAAACAAUAACAACAAAACAAUGACAGCAGCAACACAAACCACAGAAAUGUUUUAUCCUGUCAUUGAAGAUUCUUCCUAAACUUUUAACUCUUUUAAUGCCAUACAAAGAUAUGUGACCUCAUCAUUAUAACAUUUGCAUAAGGAUACUAAAUAUUCAGAAUAGGAUUUAAUACAAUUAUCACUAUGUGAAUUGGUCUUCAGGUCUAGUUACUUAUCAGAAAAAUGGACUAUUAGAUAUAAAAGGGACCUAAAAGAGCUUCUAAGCUCGUGUUUCUUAAUAUGUAGUCCAUGAACCAUCUGUAUCCAAAUGACCUGGUCUGCUCAUUUAAAAAAGGCUAUACAGGCAUCACUAAUUAGCAAUUUUGGAGGUAGGUCUUAUGAAUCUAGA